GUGAACGCUGGCGGUAGGCCUAACCCAUGCACGUCGAACGGCAGCACCGUAAGAGCUUGCUCUUACGGGUGGCGAGUGGCGGACGGGUGAGGAAUACAUCGGAAUCUACUUUUUCGUGGGGGAUAACGUAGGGAAACUUACGCUAAUACCGCAUACGACCUACGGGUGAAAGCAGGGGAUCUUCGGACCUUGCGCGAUUGAAUGAGCCGAUGUCGGAUUAGCUAGUUGGCGGGGUGAAGGCCCACCAAGGCGACGAUCCGUAGCUGGUCUGAGAGGAUGAUCAGCCACACUGGAACUGAGACACGGUCCAGACUCCUACGGGAGGCAGCAGUGGGGAAUAUUGGACAAUGGGCGCAAGCCUGAUCCAGCCAUACCGCGUGGGUGAAGAAGGCCUUCGGGUUGUAAAGCCCCUUUGUUGGGAAAGAAAAGCAGCAGGUUAAUACCCCGCUGUUCUGACGGUACCCAAAGAAUAAGCACCGGCUAACUUCGUG
rnacentral:rRNA from 1 species